rnacentral:lncRNA from 10 species
GAGCCGGAAGCGCCGCCGCCUCCAGUCCCUCCCAAAUCCGAGGCGGGCGGGUUCCCGCAGUGGCAGUGGCUCCCCAUCGCCGGACACCUACUCCCUCUAUUGCUACCCAUGCACCUGGGGAGACUGCAAGGUGGGCGAGUCCUCUAGCCGCCCAGCCCCCGGUCCCCUACCCUCAACCACACAGCCCAGCCAGGCCUCCCGGGCCCUCACAGAGCCUCUGAGCGGUCGAGCCGCCUCCCUUCUGGGGGCUGACACCCCUGUUAAGACCUACCA